AUAAUGAGUCUCUGUGUGGUUAUUUGGGAGUGGGUUAAUAGGACAGAAAAGUCCACCUACAUUGUCCUUCAUUCCCCGACCCCCUACAUAAAUAAAUGUAACUUUAAAUAUUUUUAAAGAGAGUUAUGUUCAUUUUUGUCAAGUGUAGAGGAAAGAAUGUCAGAGCAGAAGAAAAGUCAGUUUCCUCCACCACCACCCCCCUUUGUUUUUUCGGACAAGAUUUCCUGCAGCCUCAGCUGGCCUGGAAUUCACUCUGUAACUGAAGAUGAUCUUGAACUCCUGAUCCUCCUGCAUCUGCCUCCCAGGCAUGCUGAUGUGUUUAGUGGGGAGGUGUACUGAUGCUGGCACUUUCUUCAGUACACCAACAUGGGAGAUGGAUUCAUGUAAGGCAGAAGCACAGCUCUGACCUCUGGUUGCAUCUGAGCUACAAGACUGCAUGUAUCAGGGCUGAAGAGACGGCUAUGUGGUCUAUUCAUGUAGUGGGUAGCUGUUCCAGCUUUGACCUGGAAAUACCACCCCCUUUGAGGCUUCGGUAACUAUCACGCCUACAAGGUGGAGCUGAG